UCGAGCGGUAACAUUUCUAGCUUGCUAGAAGAUGACGAGCGGCGGACGGGUGAGUAAUGCUUGGGAAUAUGCCUUAUGGUGGGGGACAACAGUUGGAAACGACUGCUAAUACCGCAUAAUGUCUUCGGACCAAAGCAGGGGACCUUCGGGCCUUGCGCGUUUUGAUUAGCCCAAGUGGGAUUAGCUAGUUGGUAAGGUAAUGGCUUACCAAGGCGACGAUCCCUAGCUGGUCUUAGAGGAUGACCAGCCACACUGGAACUGAGACACGGUCCAGACUCCUACGGGAGGCAGCAGUGGGGAAUAUUGCACAAUGGAGGAAACUCUGAUGCAGCCAUGCCGCGUGUGUGAAGAAGGCUUUCGGGUUGUAAAGCACUUUCAGUGGGGAGGAAAGGGUUGUAGUUAAUAGCUGCAAUCUGUGACGUUACCCACAGAAGAAGCACCGGCUAACUCCGUGCCAGCAGCCGCGGUAAUACGGAGGGUGCGAGCGUUAAUCGGAAUUACUGGGCGUAAAGCGCGCGUAGGUGGUUAAUUAAGUCAGAUGUGAAA
rnacentral:rRNA from 1 species